UAUUAUUGUGCCUUGCAUAAGCAAGCACAAUACUACUCUUCCUCGGGCUUAUUAUUGUGCCUUGCAUAAGCAAGCACAAUACUACUCUCCCUCGUGCUUAUUAUUAUUAAACUUAUUAUUAUUCUUCCGUACGUUUUUCGGCGCGCUUCUUCUCCCAGAGCUUUUGUCGCACAUACACAAAAAAGGUAUCAAAACGUGCGGCUCGGCCGGGAAUGGUGUGCUAUGACUUUUCUAAGAAUUUCGCCAAACGGUUUGCCGGUAAAUCGCCAAAAACCGGUCCAAAAAAUGAAUGGGUGUGUAUUGCGAGAACCUCCAACUGAAAAAAACCGCCAGAGUGCGUGACAUCAUCGCUAGAGUGUGGGGAGAGAGAAAAAUUUGUCGAAAAAUAAAUUUGUAAACUGCUGUCAUGGCCACAAAUUUCACUCUACAGAAAUAAUUUAUAGAUAGAAACGUAGGUAAAUUCGUUGGGGUCGCAGUGAUACUACUGCUGAAGCUGUCAGACAAAUAGUUUUGGCGGGAAACGCACUGAUGCGCCAGCAACGCCCUCUCACGGCCCCAUCUACUCCCAUGUUAAUUUUAGAGGAGGAAUCUUGAAAAACGCUCGUUGAACCUCUUCUCUCUCAAUCUCCCCAGGUCACAUUUUUUAACUUUAGCCACUGAAACUCGGCAACGCUAUAGUCAACAAGAUGACGACGCCCACGGUGUUUUCGGUUUUCAUUUCGGUCGUUCCUGGCCAUGCUUUUGAGGGGAUUCGUUUUAAUUGUUUUCUGUCUCUCUCAAGAGUUAGAGACAGAGAGAGAGCGCGCGCAGCUGCUGUGGGCUCCCCUGAUUGCCAUGACAACUAAAGCCUGCUCACACACACACACACACACACACACACACACACAGCUAGCUACAGAGAAUGACAAGGCAUUAAUAAGCUAGCGCUAGCUGGCUAGCUAAGGACAAUUAGCAGGUGGCUAACAAGCAAACAAUUUAAAGCUGAAUGAUUUUAAUAUUAACACAAAAUAAGAACAAUACACCUUAAAUAUUUUACCCUACUAUGAGCUGUUCCUUAAUUUACAUUAGCACUCCUUCAGGAGCAUAAUACAAUUAAACACAUUAACCACAGCUAGCACUUAGCUAGCGAUUAGCGGUUAGCUAGUGAUUAGCAUGUAGCUAGCGAUUAGCGGUUAGCUAGCGAUUAGCACGUAGCUAAGCGCUAGCUUUGGUUUAUGUGUUUAUGUGUGCUAGCUCUAGCUAGCUAGCUAAAGAGAAUGACAUGAUAUUAAUAUGCUAGCGCUAGCUAAGGAGGAUGACAGGUUAUCAAUAUGCUAUAGGGAGGAUUACAUGGCAUUAAUAAUCUAGCGCUAGCUGGCUAGCUAAAGAUAAUUAGCAGGUGGCUAACAAGCAAACAAUUUAAAGCUGAAUGAUUUUAAUAUUAACACAAAAUAAGAACAAUACACCUUAAAUAUUUUACCCUACUAUGAGCUGUUCCUUAAUUUACAUUAGCACUCCUUCAGGAGCAUAAUACAAUUAAACACAUUAACCAAAGCUAGCACUUAGCUAGCGAUUAGCGGUUAGCACUUAGCUAGCGAUUAGCGGUUAGCACUCAGCUAGCGAUUAGCGCACAGCUAGCGAUUAGCGGUUAGCACGUAGACAUGGUAUUAACAUAUGGGCCAGAGCAAGGCACAAUCAAAAUUGCUUUAGGAAUUUUCUAGUUAUAUUUUAUUCUUCCGUACGUUUUUCGGCGCGCUACUCCUCCCGGAGCUUUUGUCGCACGUACACAAGAAAGGUAUCAAAACGUGCGGCUCGGCCGGGAAUCGAGUGCUAUGACUUUUCUAAGAAUUUCGCCAAACGGUUUGCCGGUAAAUCGCCAAAAACCGGUCAAAAAAAUGAAUGGGUGUGUAUUGCGAGAACCUCCAACUGAAAAAAACUGCCAGAGUGCGUGACAUCAUCGCUAGAGUGUGGGGAGAAGGGAAAAAUUUGUCGAAAAAUAAAUUUGUAAACUGCUGUCAUGGCCACAAAUUUCACUCUACCGAAAUAAUUUAUAGAUAGAAACGUAGGUAAAUCCGUUGGGGUCGCAGUGAUACUACUGCUGAAGCUGUCAGACAAAUAGUUUUGGCGGGAGACGCACUGAUGCGCCAGCAACACCCUCUCACGGCCCCAUCUACUCCCAUGUUAAUUUUAGAGGACAAAUCUUGAAAAACGCUCGUUGAACCUCUUCUCUCUCAAUCUCCCCAGGUCACAUUUUUUAACUUUAACCACUGAAACUCGGCAGUGCUAUAGUCAACAAGAUGACGACGCUCACGGUCUUUUCGGUUUUCAUUUCGGUCGUUCCUGGCCAUGCUUUUGAGGGGAUUCGUUUUAAUUGUUUUCUGUCUCUCUGAGGAGUUAGAGACAGAGAGAGCGUGCGCAGCUGCUGUGGGCUCCCCUGAUUGCCAUGACAACCAAAGCCUGCUCACACACACACACACACACACAGCUAGCU